ACGAACGUUGGCGGCAUGGAUUAGGCAUGCAAGUCGAACGAAUGCCAGGGUAGCAAUACCUUGGCGGAAGUGGCGAAAGGGGCAGUAAUGCAUGGGUAACCUACCCUGGGGAUGGGCAUAGCCGGUCUAACGGCCGGGUAAUUCCCAGAGAUUCGGCGAGGAGGCAUCUCUUUGCCGGGAAAUGAAUUUCGCCUCGGGAGGGGCCCAUGUCGUAUUAACUAGUUGGCGGGGUAACGGCCCACCAAGGUUAAGAUGCGUAGCGGGUGUGAGAGCACGACCCGCGCCACUGGAACUGAGACACGGUCCAGACACCUACGGGUGGCAGCAGUCGAGAAUUUUUCUCAAUGGGGGAAACCCUGAAGGAGCGACGCCGCGUGGAGGAUGAAGGUCUUCGGAUUGUAAACUCCUGUCAUUGGGGAACAAUGGUUACGCGUUAACUGCGCGUGACUUGAUAGUACCCGAAGAGGAAGAGACGGCUAACUCUGUGCCAGCAGCCGCGGUAAUACAGAGGUCUCAAGCGUUGUUCGGAUUCAUUGGGCGUAAAGGGUGCGUAGGCGGCGCGGUAAGUCGGGUGUGAAAUUUCGAGGCUUAACUUCGAAACUGCAUUCGAUACUGCCGUGCUUGAGGACUGGAGAGGAGACUGGAAUUUACGGUGUAGCGGUGAAAUGCGUAGAUAUCGUAAGGAAGACCAGUGGCGAAGGCGGGUCUCUGGACAGUUCCUGACGCUGAGGCACGAAGGCCAGGGGAGCAAACGGGAUUAGAUACCCCGGCAGUCCUGGCAAUAAACGGUGCACGUUUGGUGUGGGAGGAUUCGACCCCUUCUGCGCCGGAGCUAACGCGUUAAACGUGCCGCCUGGGGAGUACGGUCGCAAGAUUAAAACUCAAAGAAAUUGACGGGGGCCCGCACAAGCGGUGGAGUAUGUGGCUUAAUUCGAUGCAACGCGAAGAACCUUACCUGGCCUUGACAUGCAUCUCUAAGCUGGUGAAAGCCAGUGAGUCCCGAAAGGGACAAUUUGCACAGGUGCUGCAUGGCUGUCGUCAGCUCGUGUCGUGAGAUGUUGGGUUAAGUCCCGCAACGAGCGCAACCCCUGUGAACUGUUGCCACCAAGCCGUGAGGCUUGAGCACUCUGUUCAGACUGCCCUGUGAAACGGGGAGGAAGGUGGGGACGACGUCAAGUCAGUAUGGCCCUUACGGCCAGGGCUGCACACGUACUACAAUGCCCAGUACAGAACGAUCCGAGACCGCGAGGUGGAGGAAAUCUAUCAAAACUGGGCCCAGUUCGGAUUGAAGUCUGCAACCCGACUUCAUGAAGCCGGAAUCGCUAGUAAUGGCGCAUCAGCUACGGCGCCGUGAAUACGUUCCCGGGCCUUGUACACACCGCCCGUCACAUCAUGGAAGUCGCCUGUAGCCGAAGCCGGCGCGCUAACCGCAAGGAGGCAGCCGCCUACGCUAUGAGCGGUAACUGGGAUG
rnacentral:rRNA from 1 species